GCCGGGCACGGUGGCGGGUGCCUGUAAUCCCAGCUACUCUGGAGGCUGAGGCAGGAGAAUCGCUUGAACCCAGGAGGUGGAAGUUGCAGUGAGCCAAGAUCAUGCUACUGCACUCCAGCCUGGGUGACAGAGCAAGACUCUGUCUCAA
ensembl:misc_RNA Metazoa_SRP Metazoan signal recognition particle RNA